ensembl:rRNA 5S_rRNA 5S ribosomal RNA
GUCUGUGACCACACCACCCUGAACGCGCCCGAUCUCGGCUGGUCUCAGAAGCUAAGCAGGGUCUGGCCUGGUCAGUACUUGCGUGGGAGGCAGGUGAGAGGAGACUGCUCAGAGACA